UACGUAGGGGGCAAGCGUUGUCCGGAUUUAUUGGGCGUAAAGAGCGUGUAGGCGGCCAGGUAGGUCCGUUGUGAAAACUCGAGGCUCAACCUCGAGACGUCGGCGGAAACCCUCUGGCUAGAGUCCGGAAGAGGAGAGUGGAAUUCCUGGUGUAGCGGUGAAAUGCGCAGAUAUCAGGAAGAACACCCGUGGCGAAGGCGGCUCUCUGGGACGGUACUGACGCUGAGGCGCGAAAGCUAGGGGAGCAAACGGG
rnacentral:rRNA from 1 species